GCCGGGCUGGUGUAAUUGGCAACACGACGGAUUGAGACCGCGGGAUUAUUUGACUUCCUAUGUCCUUCGGGGACUCGUUAUCCAGGCUAGAAUCCCGGGCCUGGUA